CAGCCCCUAAGAAGGCGUGGCUACAGCUUUCCCUACAACCUACGACUCUCAAAGAUCAGAUGUUCUCUCUGGCCUCUGCAGGAACCAGCACUCCUAUUUACAUACCACAUACAUAUGCACACAUAUAUGCAUAAUAACAAAUAAGAAAACAGAUGUUAAAAAGAGUUAUACUUUUCAUCUUUCUAGAAUUACACUUCAGUUGUCAUAAUUUGUCCAGGAAUGAGACAAUGGGAUGGAUUGUUUUGACCCAACCUCUGACAUCAGCCCAAUCAAAACAAGCAAACAAAACACCUCCAUCUCUUAGUAAUUGAAGACACUGAUUCUGAAGUAACUUCAAGUGAGAGUUGUUACUGGUAUUUUCACCCAUAUUUGCCUCCCUUCAAGAACAAACUAAGGACAUUUUGCACAAAGCAGGUUAGUAACAGAGUUUCUUGUUUUGAUUACUGUUUAAAUUAAUUCCUUGCUCUCUGUGACAAAGAUUUGGUUUCCCACAAACACACAAACAAAGAGAUUGUCAAAUAGAUACUUCAUUACAGGAUCUUGUAAGCAGCCAUGUCUUGGUGAGAAGAGUGUGGUAGAACACAGAAAAACCUCAGCCAUUUCCCCAGGACCUAGUAGCUGGAAGGCUUUUCUGAAUCUUACCUGUCAGGCAAACACUGGAUUGUUGUUUA
rnacentral:lncRNA from 1 species